rnacentral:rRNA from 1 species
GACGAACCGUGCGAACGUUGUUCGGAAUCACUGGGCUUAAAGGGCGCGUAGGCGGUCGGUCAAGUCCGGGGUGAAAUCCUGCAGCUUAACUGUAGAAGUGCCUUGGAUACUGGCUGGCUCGAGGGAGGUAGGGGUCUUUGGAACUUCUGGUGGAGCGGUGAAAUGCGUUGAUAUCAGAAGGAACGCCGGUGGCGAAAGCGAAAGACUGGACCUCUUCUGACGCUGAGGCGCGAAAGCCAGGGGAGCAAACGGG